CCCUUAGAUGUCCUGGGCUGCACGCGCGCUACACUGAUGUGUCCAGUAAGCACCUAACCUCUUCCGAAAGGCACGGGUAACCUUUGCAAAGCACAUCGUGAUGGGGAUAGAUUAUUGCAAUUAUUAGUCUUGAACGAGGAAUUCCUAGUAAGCACAAGUCAUCAGCUUGUGUUGAUUACGUCCCUGCCCUUUGUACACACCGCCCGUCGCUCCUACCGAUUGAAUGUUCCGGUGAGCUCUUCGGACUGCGCGGUCUGCAGUUUCUGCGUUCCGUGCGGAAAGUUGCGCAAACCUUAACAUUUAGAGGAAGGAGAAGUCGUAACA
rnacentral:rRNA from 1 species